ACGAAAUCCGAGCACGAAAUAGUGAUCUCCACUGAAAAAGGAGUCAUAAGUUUGACGCUAAACGAGUUAGGUGGAAGCUUGAGGACGAAGCGGGUCAAACAAAUCAAUAAGGAAAAGUAAGGCAUAGUUUGGAUGCGAGGAUAAAUCGGC